UACAGAGGUCUCAAGCGUUGUUCGGAUUCAUUGGGCGUAAAGGGUGCGUAGGCGGCGCGGUAAGUCGGGUGUGAAAUCUUGGAGCUUAACUCCGAAACUGCAUUCGAUACUGCCGUGCUUGAGGACUGGAGAGGAGACUGGAAUUUACGGUGUAGCGGUGAAAUGCGUAGAUAUCGUAAGGAAGACCAGUGGCGAAGGCGGGUCUCUGGACAGUUCCUGACGCUGAGGCACGAAGGUCAGGUGAGCAAACGGG
rnacentral:rRNA from 1 species